CCUACGGGAGGCAGCAGUGGGGAAUAUUGCACAAUGGGGGAAACCCUGAUGCAGCGACGCCGCGUGAGGGAAGAAGUAUUUCGGUACGUAAAGCUCUAUCAGCAGGGAAGAAAAUGACGGUACCUGACUAAGAAGCCCCGGCUAACUACGUGCCAGCAGCCGCGGUAAUACGUAGGGGGCAAGCGUUAUCCGGAUUUACUGGGUGUAAAGGGAGCGGAGACGGCAGCGCAAGUCUGGAGUGAAAUCCCAUGGCUUAACCAUGGAACUGCUUUUGAAACUGUGCAGCUAGAGUGCAGGAGAGGUAAGCGGAAUUCCUAGUGUAGCGGUGAAAUGCGUAGAUAUUAGGAGGAACACCAGUGGCGAAGGCGGCUUACUGGACUGUAACUGACGUUGAGGCUCGAAAGCGUGGGGAGCAAACAGGAUUAGAUACCCCGGUAGUC
rnacentral:rRNA from 1 species